UACAGAGGUCUCAACCGUUGUUCGGAUUCAUUGGGCGUAAAGGGCGCGUAGGCGGCCUGCUAAGUCGGACGUGAAAUCCCUCGGCUCAACCGAGGAACUGCGUCCGAUACUGGUGGGCUUGAAUCCGGGAGAGGGAUGUGGAAUUCCAGGUGUAGCGGUGAAAUGCGUAGAUAUCUGGAGGAAUACCGGUGGCGAAGGCGGCAUCCUGGACCAUUACUGACGCUGAGGCGCGAAAGCUAGGGGAGCAAACGGG
rnacentral:rRNA from 1 species